CCUACGGGGUGCAGCAGUGGGGAAUAUUGCACAAUGGGGGAAACCCUGAUGCAGCAACGCCGCGUGAGUGAAGAAGUAUUUCGAUAUGUAAAGCUCUAUCAGCAGGGAAGAAGAUGACGGUACCUGAGUAAGAAGCCCCGGCUAACUACGUGCCAGCAGCCGCGGUAAUACGUAGGGGGCAAGCGUUAUCCGGAUUUACUGGGUGUAAAGGGAGCGUAGACGGCAGCGCAAGUCUGAAGUGAAAUGCCGGGGCUUAACCCCGGAACUGCUUUGGAAACUGUGCAGCUAGAGUGCAGGAGAGGUAAGUGGAAUUCCUAGUGUAGCGGUGAAAUGCGUAGAUAUUAGGAGGAACACCAGUGGCGAAGGCGGCUUACUGGACUGUAACUGACGUUGAGGCUCGAAAGCGUGGGGAGCAAACAGGAUUAGAUACCCUUGUAGUC
rnacentral:rRNA from 1 species